UACGGGGGGGGCAAGCGUUGUUCGGAAUUACUGGGCGUAAAGCGCACGUAGGCGGCUCGUUAAGUCGGGGGUGAAAUCCUGGAGCUCAACUCCAGAACUGCCUUCGAUACUGGCGCUCUUGAGUCCGGAAGAGGUGAGUGGAACUCCUAGUGUAGAGGUGGAAUUCGUAGAUAUUAGGAAGAACACCAGUGGCGAAGGCGGCUCACUGGUCCGGUACUGACGCUGAGGUGCGAAAGCGUGGGGAGCAAACAGG
rnacentral:rRNA from 1 species